GCAAGACCUUGCGCGAUUGGAGCGGCCGAUGUCAGAUUAGCUAGUUGGUGGGGUAAAGGCCUACCAAGGCGACGAUCUGUAGCGGGUCUGAGAGGAUGAUCCGCCACACUGGAACUGAGACACGGUCCAGACUCCUACGGGAGGCAGCAGUGGGGAAUUUUGGACAAUGGGGGAAACCCUGAUCCAGCCAUUCCGCGUGAGUGAUGAAGGCCUUCGGGUUGUAAAGCUCUUUCGGCCGGGAAAAAAUCGCACGGGUUAAUACCCUGUGUGGAUGAUGGUACCGGACUAAGAAGCACCGGCUAACUACGUGCCAGCAGCCGCGGUAAUACGUAGGGUGCGAGCGUUAAUCGGAAUUACUGGGCGUAAAGCGUGCGCAGGCGGAUGUUUAAGUCAGAUGUGAAAUCCCCGGGCUCAACCUGGGAAUGGCAUUUGAAACUGGGCAUCUAGAGUGCGUCAGAGGGGGGUGGAAUUCCACGUGUAGCAGUGAAAUGCGUAGAGAUGUGGAGGAACACCGAUGGCGAAGGCAGCCCCCUGGGAUGACACUGACGCUCAUGCACGAAAGCGUGGGGAGCAAACAGGAUUAGAUACCCUGGUAGUCCACGCCCUAAACGAUGUCAACUAGUUGU
rnacentral:rRNA from 1 species